UGGUGGAGUGAUUUGUCUGCUUAAUUGCGAUAACUAACGAGACCUUAACCUGCUAAAUAGCCCGUAUUGCUUUGGCAGUACGCCGGCUUCUUAGAGGGACUAUCGGCUCAAGCCGAUGGAAGUUUGAGGCAAUAACA
rnacentral:rRNA from 1 species